rnacentral:rRNA from 1 species
UGGGGAAUAUUGGACAAUGGGCGAAAGCCUGAUCCAGCCAUGCCGCGUGUGUGAAGAAGGUCUUCGGAUUGUAAAGCACUUUAAGUUGGGAGGAAGGGCAUUAACCUAAUACGUUAGUGUUUUGACGUUACCGACAGAAUAAGCACCGGCUAACUCUGUGCCAGCAGCCGCGGUAAUACAGAGGGUGCAAGCGUUAAUCGGAAUUACUGGGCGUAAAGCGCGCGUAGGUGGUUUGUUAAGUUAGAUGUGAAAGCCCCGGGCUCAACCUGGGAACUGCAUUCAAAACUGACUGACUAGAGUAUGGUAGAGGGUGGUGGAAUUUCCUGUGUAGCGGUGAAAUGCGUAGAUAUAGGAAGGAACACCAGUGGCGAAGGCGACCACCUGGACUAAUACUGACACUGAGGUGCGAAAGCGUGGGGAGCAAACA